UACGGAAGGCAGCGAGUGGGGAAUAUUGCACAAUGGGCGAAAGCCUGAUGCAGCUAUGCCGCGUGUAUGAAGAAGGCCUUAGGGUUGUAAAGUACUUUCAUCGGGGAGGAAAAACAAAACUAAUAAUUUUAUUUCUUGACGUUACCCGAAAAAGAAGCACCGGCUAACUCCGUGCCAGCAGCCGCGGUAAUACGGAGGGUGCUAGCGUUAAUCAGAAUUACUGGGCGUAAAGAGCACGUAGGUGGUUUUUUUAAAGUCAAGAUGUGAAAUCCCUGGGCUUAACCUUAGGAACUGCAUUUUGAAACUGAAAUACUAGAGUAUCGUAGAGGGAGGUAGAAUUCUAGGUGUAGCGGUGAAAAUGCGUAGAUAUCUGGAGGAAUACCUGUGGCGAAAAGCGGCCUCCUAAACGAAAUACUGACACUGAGGGUGCGAAAAGCG
rnacentral:rRNA from 1 species